rnacentral:rRNA from 2 species
CCGGUUAAAAACUCGACGAGGACGGCGGGUCUCGGCCCGACGUCCCUCGACACGCCCUGUGAUCGCGCGGGCGCCUCGUGCGCUCGAGCGUCCCAGCGGCGGAACAACGAACCCCGGCGCGGAAAGCGCCAAGGAACUCGAACAAGAGAGCGAAGCUCCCGUCGCCCCGGGCACGGUGCGCGAGCGGGACGCCACGCGAUCUCCUAUUAUCAUAACGACUCUCGGCAACGGAUAUCUCGGCUCUCGCAUCGAUGAAGAACGUAGCGAACUGCGAUACUUGGUGUGAAUUGCAGAAUCCCGUGAACCAUCGAGUCUUUGAACGCAAGUUGCGCCCGAAGCCGUUUGGCCGAGGGCACGUUUGCCUGGGUGUCACACAUGGCGUUGCCCCAACCCCCUCGCCUCGAGGAAACUCGGACGGGCGGGAGUCGGGUGCGUAGAUUGGCCUCCCGCGACGUUCCCGUCCCGGUUGGCCUAAAUACGAGCGUCGGAGCGAUCGGCACCACGACAUUCGGUGGUUGACUAGACACCAAUGAUCAGAUGUCGCGCGUGCCCGCUCGU